GAUGAACGCUGGCGGCGUGCCUUAUACAUGCAAGUCGAGCGGACGGACGAGCAGCUUGCCUCGCUGAUGUUAGCGGCGGGAGGGUGAGUAACACGUGGCUAAACGAUCUUUAUGGCUGGGGUAAAUUCGGGAAACGGGAGCUAAUAACGGAUAAUAUUUUGAACCGGAUGGUUCGAAAGUGAAAGGCGGUCUUGCUGUCACUUGGAGAUUGAUCCGCGCUGCAUUAGCUAGUUGGUAAGGUAACGGCUCACCAAGGCAACGAUGCGUAGCCGAUCUGAGAGGAUGAUCGGCCACACUGGGACUGAGACACGGUCCAGACUCCUACGGGAGGCAGCAGUAGGGAAUUUUCGACAAUGGGCGCAAGCCUGACCCAGCCAUGCCGCGUGAGUGAAGAAGGCCUUCGGAUUGUAAAGCUCUUUCGGUUGGGAAGAAAUCGCAUCCUAUUAUACAUGCUGAGCUUGACGGUACCAACAUAGGAAGCACCGGCUAACUACGUG
rnacentral:rRNA from 1 species